GUCCUUCAAGCUCUUAAUGAAGUUAAGGGCUCUCUUGACUCACUGCUCCUUUCAGUGCUGGAAUAAAGGCCCAGUUUCCAUCAGCAUUCUCAGACAGCAAGGAUGCUUGUUGCUGUGGCAAGAGGCUGCAGCCUGGCGGUGAGGUGUGCAGGAGUUCACCCUGUGCCUGCGUACUGCGCAGGGCACAUGACAAAGCAGGGGACGUGCGAACAAAGUGCAUUACGAGGAAAGAUCAGCACGGCUACUGAGGAUUCUGCUCAUUGAAGCCAUUUUCUAUCAGCAGAGUGAAGAGAUAGUCAAGCAAAUUUCCUGGGGACUUUCUCUUUAAUGAGAAGCCAUGCUGCAAACCUCCGUGCUCACGCUCAAGAAACUUCAUCCAGGAGCAGCACCAUGCAACGAAGUUUGGUUUUCUCAGCAGUCACAGCUUGUCGUUUAGCAUCAGACAACGUUUCUCCUCUACAGUGAGAUGUUUCUUUUUCCUUUAAAGCCGCCUCGAUCACAAUCUGUAAGUUAUUUGCUUCCUCCCCUGCUGAGUCAAUAUUAAAUUAUUCAGAGCUUUCUGUGUUACGCUCCACCCAGCGAGGAGGUCACGGCCAGUAAAUGUGGCACGGUGAGAUACAAGAGGAGCCUGCAUCCCCCACAGGAGAGUGCAGGCCUGUCGGGAGAUAAGGCUGGCCUUUCUUUCCCACAUCCUUGUUUUGGUUGCUUCGAAACCACCAAAGACUCCUUUGACUGGCAGCCCAGGAAGCCAACCUCAUGUACCUGGGCAUUAAUAAAAUGCUUUUC